rnacentral:rRNA from 1 species
AUUGAACGCUGGCGGCAGGCCUAACACAUGCAAGUCGAGCGGGGUUUUCGGACCUAGCGGCGGACGGGUGAGUAACACGUGGGAACGUACCUUUUGGUUCGGAACAACUCAGGGAAACUUGAGCUAAUACCGGAUGAGCCCUUAGGGGGAAAGAUUUAUCGCCGAAAGAGCGGCCCGCGUUAGAUUAGCUAGUUGGUGAGGUAAAGGCUCACCAAGGCUACGAUCUAUAGCUGGUCUGAGAGGAUGAUCAGCCACACUGGGACUGAGACACGGCCCAGACUCCUACGGGAGGCAGCAGUGGGGAAUCUUGCGCAAUGGGCGAAAGCCUGACGCAGCCAUGCCGCGUGAAUGAUGAAGGUCUUAGGAUUGUAAAAUUCUUUUACCAGGGACGAUAAUGACGGUACCUGGAGAAAAAGCCCCGGCUAACUUCGUGCCAGCCGCCGCAGUAAGAC